CCUGCUCGACAACACAUACUCACACACUCAACACUGCAUCACCAUUACACCAACAUCAUAACUAUCAAACUUCACCCCCCUGCUGAACACAAUCAUCGGCCUACUUAAUAGCACCACGAUCCCCACAGUAUCAUAUACAUAUACAUUAGGCUAUUAUUUAGCUUACCUGGAGGUUGCUAACAAGGCUAAAGAGGAGGGCUGUGCAGUGAAAAGGCAGAGAGAGCAGGUUUUUGUGUAAGUCACACAGAAACUGAAGAGAACAGAGAAUGAGGAAGU